rnacentral:rRNA from 1 species
UACAGAGGUGGCAAGCGUUGUUCGGAAUUACUGGGCGUAAAGGGCGAGUAGGGGGCCAUCUAAGUCAGACGUGAAAUCCCCCGGCUUAACCUGGGAACUGCGUCUGAUACUGGACGGCUUGAGUAUGGGAGAGGAACGUAGAAUUCCAGGUGUAGCGGUGAAAUGCGUAGAUAUCUGGAGGAAUACCGGUGGCGAAGGCGGCGUUCUGGACCAUUACUGACACUGAAUCGCGAAAGCUAGGGGAGCAAACGGG